AUUGAACGCUGGCGGCAGGCCUAACACAUGCAAGUCGAGCGGAUGAAGGGAGCUUGCUCCUGGAUUCAGCGGCGGACGGGUGAGUAAUGCCUAGGAAUCUGCCUGGUAGUGGGGGAUAACGUCCGGAAACGGGCGCUAAUACCGCAUACGUCCUGAGGGAGAAAGUGGGGGAUCUUCGGACCUCACGCUAUCAGAUGAGCCUAGGUCGGAUUAGCUAGUUGGUGGGGUAAAGGCCUACCAAGGCGACGAUCCGUAACUGGUCUGAGAGGAUGAUCAGUCACACUGGAACUGAGACACGGUCCAGACUCCUACGGGAGGCAGCAGUGGGGAAUAUUGGACAAUGGGCGAAAGCCUGAUCCAGCCAUGCCGCGUGUGUGAAGAAGGUCUUCGGAUUGUAAAGCACUUUAAGUCGGGAGGAAGGGCAAUAAGUUAAUACCUUGCUGUUUUGACGUUACCAACAGAAUAAGCACCGGCUAACUUCGUG
rnacentral:rRNA from 1 species